ensembl:scaRNA small Cajal body-specific RNA 3
ACUGGGACCGGCUGUGUGGUCAAACGAAGAGGUUUUUGUCCACUGUUGCCAGCUUCCUAGAGUGAAGUGGGGGUCUCUGUCUGCUUUAGGAGAGCCGGCCAGCGCAGAUCGUUCCCCUCCAGACAUG